rnacentral:rRNA from 1 species
UACAGAGGUCUCAAGCGUUGUUCGGAUUCAUUGGGCGUAAAGGGUGCGUAGGCGGCGCGGUAAGUCGGGUGUGAAAUCUUGGAGCUUAACUCCGAAACUGCAUUCGAUACUGCCGUGCUUGAGGACUGGAGAGGAGACUGGAAUUUACGGUGUAGCGGUGAAAUGCGUAGAUAUCGUAAGGAAGACCAGUGGCGAAGGCGGGUCUCUGGACAGUUACUGGCACUGAGGCACGAAGGCCAGGGGAGCAAACGGGG